rnacentral:lncRNA from 1 species
GUUUAGCUCCGCCCACAUUGAGCUUGACAGCUUGCUGGGCAGCGCCAUUAUGUGUUGCAACUUCCGGUUUGCUGUCUCUGCGCUGUGUUGACAGCGAGUUCAACUGCUUUGUUGUUCACUUUUAUUAAGUGACCAGCCUCAUCUGCUCCGUCCAUGGAUUCCACAACAACUUUAAGAUGAAGCUUUCGCUUUCUCAAGACUGUUUAGAGCACGGGAGCACAGAUCUGAAUGCUGCGGGCCAGCGUUCAGACUGCACCCACCUCCGUCUAAAGGAGAGGACCUCCGCUGCUGGAUUUGGGCGCUCCUCCUUCCUCAACAAAUCUAACUCUGCCUUCUGGGAGAUGCAUCAACCAGUGACGUGGCUGGACGUCCUGUGUCGCAACUCGAUGUCGACCUACCAGCUGAACCUCCUGCCUCCUGUCUGAUCAGGACUCUGCUGAAAGCCCCGUCCUGUAUCAGCCCCUCCAGUGUCAUAAAGCCACACAGUGUUCAGGACCAUCAGUGCUGCAUAUAACUCUCCUACGCUCUGACCGUCUCAGCCUCCUGUACACUGGUCUCCACUGGCAUCUUCAUUUUUUGGCUGAUCAGCUGUCAAUAACUGUCAUUAACACCUUUAAGCUUGAUGUCCGAGAUCAGGUCCCAAUGACCCUCAUGAAGCUCCGGCUGAACCUGCUGCAGGAAGACCUGCUGAGAGGUUCAGUGUGUCUCAGUCUGGAGUCAGCAGGAUCAUCACUGCAUGGUUGGACAUCAUGGAGGAGAAGAUCAGGUCUUGCGUCCCGUGGCUGCCCAGAGAGACCAUUGUUGCUACGAUGCCUCAGUGUUUUAAAGAGCAUCACCCGACGACAACCUGUGUGAUUGACUGUUCUGAGACGCCCCAGCAGAAACCACACAACCUGGACUCUAGGGGGGAGUCCUACAGUCAUUGUUAUGGUCAAAAUAAACAGAUGUAACCACAAUUCACCAGAUGAAUGUUUUUUGAAGUAUAGCAUUUGAAGUGAAGCAUUGCAUUGGCAUUUUAAAAUUUAAAAUUAAAUAAAUUAAAUUAAAAUUUUAUAAUUUACAGGUACAUUAGAUAAUUCAUAGGACCAAAAUAUUUCACUUUAGUUUCUCAACAUGAGUUUGAUUUCAACAUAUAGUGUCUGGUGGUGCACAAGAACGACUCCAAUGGGUCUUCUUUGUUUACAGCUCCUAUAACUUCUGAGUUUAGUACUUUCAUCAAUUCUAUGCCUGGUGGAACUUCAAGGAUCUAUUUUUAAGUGCUACUUUUCGUAUAAAGUUCAUGAAUCAAUGCCUUUAAUACUGUAAUUAAAAUGCUGUCUAACCUGUGGUAAAUUAUCUUUUAUAUUUGAAGUGUGACACCUAG